rnacentral:lncRNA from 1 species
UUGGGGCUCAGUUUCUCUGGGGGUGAGACUCGUGUGCCCUUGGGUUGGGGCUCAGUUUCAGCUUCUGCGACGGUGCCGGGCCCUUGCCCUUUCCUGGCCCCUGCUGCUUUGUGGGGUCUCUCAGGGCCCCCAAAGACUUCAGCGGAUGAAGGUCUGCAGGGACUGGGCAGGAAGGAGGCAAGGCCACACUCCCUGGUCCCGAAGCUCAGAGUGAGGUCUGAGCCUGCGGACGUGGAGGCCCUGCGCCCCAAUCUCACCCUGUGCCUCAGCUUCUCCCAAAAGCAGCAGCACUUUCCAGCACUCCUUGGAGCAGGACGCCGGCUUCCAUAUCCCAGCUAAGGGCAUUGCCCCAGCUGCACAGAUAAGGAGGAUGGGGAAACUGAGACACAGAGGGAGCUGUCCUCCAAGGAAGGCACCAAGACACCCUCAUGUUACAGAUGGGGAAACUGAGGCACAGGGAUGGGUCUGGAAACUGCAAGUGGAGGGGCCCCUGUGGCCUCAUCCCAGCGCACACCCUCACAAGGCAGUCCCCCCGAGACAGGGGCACAGCCCACAUUACAGGAAGGAGACUGAGGCCCCAGACCCAGUGACGGGGAAGGGGAACCCUGGGCAUUCCCCAGGGUCGGGGGUCAGGCCUCAGCCCCUUCCCAUCCUCCUCACAGCCUGGUUGAAACACAGAUGAGAUCGUAGCCUAGAGCCUGCCCUGGGCCCCUUAGA